GGUGCGGAGGGCGGCCCGCGGGGAGGGGCCUGGGCGCGCACGGGGCCAUCCGCCAAUCGGGGCGCGCUCACUUCGCCCAGACUCGGGUCCUGGGCCGGCUGGCACCGGGGCGCGGUGCCCCACCCCGAGAGGACUUCGGAACUGGCCCAGGACGACGCGAGGCGCAGCCCGGGAGCGUUUCCGAGGGUCUCCGAGGCCCCGUGGAUCCCCGAGGAUGCGCGCCCUGCCAGCCCCGGACGCGCCGGCGAGCGAGCGGCUGCUGGCCCGAGAUCCCGAGGCCCCCCGGGAACCCCAGGGACCCCGCGCGGGGCAUGCGGCAGGGACGGCGCGCAAGAGCGCGGUGGAGAGGCUGGCGGCCGACCGCGCCAAAUACGUUCGGGGCGCGCCGGGGACCGGCCCGGACCCCGCUUCCGAGGGCAGUAGCGCCGCGGCGUGCGCGGGGCAGGCGGGCGACCCUCGGCCCCUGACGCGCGCGCCCGGGUCCGCGGCUCGCAGGGCCAUAGCGCGGAAGCCGCUGAGGCCCGACUCGCUGGUCAUCUACCGGCAGAAAUGCGAGUUCGUCCGCGGGCCUGGCGCCGACAGCUCCAGGGGAGGCCUGGUGAAGAAGCUCUUACAGGGUCCGGGCAAGGACAGGACGCCGGUGCCCGAGACACCCCGGGUGGGGGAGGCGAGCAGGGCCGGGGACGAGGAGGCCGCCCCGACCCAGCCUGGCUGCGUGGCCUUCCCCGAGCGCCCUGGGCCCCCAGCGGCCCCGGCGCCAGCCCAGCGCGUCCGUGCGCCCCCUCCAGUCCCGGCGGCGCCCCGGGGCCCGGAGCUGCGAGGCGGGAGGCGCGGGGGGCUGCAACGCUCGCAGUCCGACCUCAGCUCCCGCUUCUCUGCGUCCGUGGCCGAAUUCGACACCUUCUUCCAAUACUGCGGUCUUGAGCCCGAGGUCGUGGAGGCCCUCGGGAGGGAGAACUUCUCGGCGGGGUCGGACCGUGUCGCUCACAAGGUCCGCAGCGUGAGUGUCGCCACUUCCGACAGCGGCUUCUCCAGGCACAGCGGUGGGGACGAGGGGCUGCAGGAGGAGGAGCUGACAGAGCAGGUGCCCAGCACCACCUCGGUCAUCGAGAGGAACGCCCGCAUCAUCAAGUGGCUGUACACCUGUAAGAAGGCUAAGGAGACCGCUGGCCAGGGGCUGCAGGGCCCGGCGUGACCCAAACCCAAGGUGUGCGCCAGAAAGCAGGGAGGGGUGCAUGUGUAAAGUGUCUGUUAGGGCUUGGUGCGUGUGACCCAGUCGCAUGGAUCCAUUCCUCUGAAGUUGCAAGGGACCCACAGAUAAGCGAGUUGUGGCUCAUGCGUCUGUGACUGCUGCAGAAGGGCUUCCCAUGCAGUCCCUCGCAGGGCCAGCGCCCAUUUUGGGGGUAUGCUGCUUCUGGCUGCCUGGAAAGAUGACUCUCUAAGUUAUGCAAUUCCAGUUAGUUUAUUAAUGUGGAAAAGGGAGACGUCGGAAUUACAGAAUGCCCAGGCAGCAGUUUUACAACACCUCUGCUCUUAUUCCCCUUGUUAAAAAUAGCCCAGAGCCCUAGUUCAAGGAUGAAUUGUUCUCUUCGACCUUGAGGUUUGGUCAGAGCUGGCCGUCCACCUGCUGCUGAGGGAACUGCUGCCUUCUGCUCUCCCCAAGGCAGGUUCUGUGCGUGUCCUGGAGGCCUUCAGCUCAGGGGCAGAGAGGAGAUCAUCGCUACAGGAUCUUGUCAGCAGUUUGCUUUCAUUUAGCUGCAGAGACCUCUAUUUGGUUAAAUUUUGUUUGACUUGUUAGUCAGCCUAGCUCACUAUGAGGAGUUUCAGUUCGUUGAACUGGGACUGGGCUUGGUUUUAACCAGGGUCUCAGAGUUGCAGGCACUUUGUUCUACAGUUCAUUUGCCUCUGAUGGUGACACAGUAACCAGGUCUCCUCCCCUUGGUCUCAGCAGCAGGGCUGAUGGUGAGUUCUUUUUAUUAGGGAGCCAGGGAUUUUACAUCUGUCCUCUCUGCUUUUCCUUCCUGGCAUGUGUGGUGAGGUUCUCUUUGAGAACUGAGAAUUUGAACAUCACAAUGUCUUUUUUGCAACUUGCUAUAUGUUAAAAAUUCAUGUGGUGGAAGUAUUUUGCCUUCAGAUAAACUAAUUGCAGAUACCUCAUCAGUCUUCCGAGCAGUGGGGGAGGCUGCCGCGAGACCUGCUUUCACACAGCUCAGCAGCUGAGGACCAGCGAACCUCUCUGAGUGGCCACAGCCUUGGUGCAGCUGUGGAAGUUAACAGGAAGAGACCAAUUCAUUGCUUCCCUUCAACUCAGAAGAAAUAUUACUUACUUUCUUCCUUAUAAUUUAUUGAAGAUUGUUGCAUUUUCCACGAGGCUAACUCCCCAAAGAAAGUAUAUGGGCAGUCAAAAUUUAAAGUCAUGUGAAAACGAGAACAACAUGUUAGCUUGUACUUUGCACAAAUUGUCUUUUGGAGCUGAGGAAGCAGGCCCUCCUGGCUCCAGGGCUCCUUGGGUGUGAACCAUGACGGGUGGCACACGGGCUUGCCCAGUGCAGCCAAUGACCACAUGACUGCUUUUCCAGUGAUAAGCAUCCCAUUGAGGAGGGCUUAGGUGCUUUCAGAAGGCUUGAAAUGUGUGGAGCAGAUGGAAACAUGGAACUUGGAAAUUAACUGUAACUGCUGUAACAGCUGAAGCUCUGGGAGAUAUUUUCUUGUUUGAGGUGGAACCAUCCUUACUUACAGAAGAGGGGAAAGCUGCCGGGAAAUAUUUUCAGGGGUACCUUUUUGACCAGCUUGCUGACCAGAGGUACUAUGAUUCAUUUUAAUGAUAAAGUCAACUUGAAAAAGAGAAAAGGCAAAAAGCAUGGAAAGCAAGCAUGAAUCCCGUGGUGCUGGCUGCCUUAAGGCAUCUCGGGCUGACGGGCACCCAUUAAAUCAGAGGACUGUGAUCAUGAGAGGUGCAGUCUGCUUAAAUACUCCAGCUGCAGAGUGAAUGCAGAUCUCUGCUUCCAGGCGCGGGCGCAGGUACACUGCAGCACGACGGACUGUGGUGGUGAAGGAAUCAGGAGGCACUUUUACAGUCACUUGAAGGCUACAAGCUCAUCCCACUGAUGCCAGUCCCGUUCGGGGGUAGACAUGUGGAAGCACCACUAAGAGAUAAAUUAGAAUCAAAAUAUAGCUAAAAAACUUUUUCUUGCUCCUGGAAAGUUUCCUGAGAACCAUUUGGAACGGGCCUCUGUGGUUCUUCUUGUGCCAGCUUGCCAAGAGGAGUGGCAAGCCACAGUCACACAGAGCGCGGGUCCACAGCACAGGCUCCGCCCCGGCCUCUAGGCCAACUCACACCGCCUCGCAUGCAGCCACCCCACGGUCGGCUCCUGUCCAUCCUUCUCUGCAGAGGGUGCACUGGAGACGAGGGGCGGCCUCUGGGCAGCAGGAGAUUCUGGGAUCAGAAUGUUGCCGGUUAGGACUGGCUGUGACCCCAAUUCUGAACCAACUCAUGACGUCCAAAGUAGAUUUCUAAUUCAGAACCUCUUAGAGAACUUUUGUAUCAAUGAGGACAACCCAAAGAAAAUUUGUCAGUCAACUUGUUCAAAUAACUGAUUAUAAGUACAUGUUAUCAAAAUGUCUCCCUAAGAACAAAAUUAUUAGAAUAGGGAGGGGAGAGAAAUGGCCAUCUCAUUUUAUAUUUUAUAAAAUAUAAAAAAUAUUUUAUAAAUCAGUUCUUUUUGAUAUAUUCAUGUAUUUGUUUAAUACUGUAUUCUAUUUUUGUAACUGUUUUACUAUGAGAGUAGGUCUUUGAGUUACUUAAAUAUUUAUCUUACACAGUUAAGGGUCUUCAAAUAAUAUUCCUUCACUUCAUAUGGUUUUAGUUUUUAUCAGUAUAAUUUUAAGUCAUUUUAUCCUCAGUUAUGUUUUGUAUAUGUUGUUCAAUUCAGUGUUCCAACUGUUGACUGUAAGCAGAGUGUUAAGGGCUCUGUACUGUAGUGAUGUGUUUUCGAAUAAGUCCUGGGUGUGCAUUUUGGAGACUGUUGGCCGAUGGAUGCACCUGACUCGUUGUAGACUCUGUUUAAAGAUAACAGAUUGCCUACUUCAAGAAUGAGUCCCCAGUUACUCCUCUAAAACGCUGCUACUUUGCUGUUCGCUGGAUUGCACUUAGUUUAAAAAGAUAAUGUCGAAGAUGAGAGGAGUUUUUUUUUAAAAGGAUCUUUUCAUAUACCCAUUUCCCUCCUUUGCAGAUGUUCCAUUAAUUAUAUAUGUGAAUGCUCCAAGCAGAAUCGUUUUGUGCCUUUUUAUGGUCUGAAUAGGAUGAAUGGAAGCCUAGUUCAGAUUUGUCUUAGGUCAGAAUGGUGCAGACUCACCAUCCAUGUAAUAAAUGAAAAAUAUUAAAACAAAUUGGCGACCACUUAAAAGCACCAAGAUCUUCCAGAAGCGUCCGCACUUUGGUAUAGCUGUGGGGAGGGGAAGGGUUCCGCCAGAGUGGAUUCCGGAAGUAGAUCUCAGAGAUGACUGUGAAGAACAGUGUCCCCAGACUCCAGCAGAGGUGAGGUGAUGCUCUUUCCUUCCAUUCAGAUUUGUGCUUUAGCAUCAAGGUUGGAGGCAAAAAAAUCCUUUCCUAAUGCUGAAUAACUCCAGUUUGCUGAGUGACCUUGAGAAAAUUAAACUUUGUAGCACAUUAUGAAUGAAAGAGUUUGUGAUUGCUUUUCUCAAAGAUGAGCAAUAGUUAGUGCUGCAAGGUAGUUUUAUUUGUUCCUGAAAGAAUAGCAUGUAAAACAACAUGAUUAAACACAAUGGAAAGAAAAAAAUACUGAUAAAGAAAUUUCACUAGUAUAUGGGUAGAGAGAGCAAAGCCUCAGAAUGAAAGAUACUAAUAUAACUGGAAAAUUUCCUCAUUAUAUACAUAUGAUACAGAUUUUAAACUACUGGUCACAGACACUGGAAGAAGAAGGCAUUAUUAAACAUUGCUGUUUUUCAAUACGUUAAAAUUUCAGUGCUAUGGUUAUAGUUGGUGAUACCAUAAAACAUCAGGCCCAGACAACUGUUAUGGCAGUUUCUAAACAGAGUUUUUUCUACACGGAACUGGAGUUCAGUGUUGUGUAUUCUAUAUUAAAUAAAGUAUUUUCAUCAUUAUCUUA